UCGGUCAGCAUGACCACCUUCAACCCUGACGAAGGCCACGAGCUCCGCUCCACUACGCUGGACGCGUCCACGGUGAAGCCACCUCUACACGUUGACUACAUAACAAACGACACCAACCACACGCCGUAUUUCUGCCGCCAGAAGAUUGUAGACUUCUGAUAUCCAGACGUGCUCCCAACAACCAAAAUAAUGGAGCUAUUCAAUAUCAUCGAUGUGCAUACUGGAUACUACCGCAUAGAAAACAACGCCAGAAGCAAGUCUAUACGUUUUAUAAAAGGUUGGAGUGUCUGGGUUGACGUGACUUGGAGGUAUUACUGAAAUGGGCAUUUCGGACCACCCGAAAAGUCACCCGGAUUCCACGUCAUUCAAGACUUCAAACCAAUACAUCAACCACGCGAUGUUCGAGCACAUCUGCUUGCAGGGUUCUCUCGCCUCAAGUGCCUUCCAAACGAAACAGUCCGGGAAGAACGGAGAAACCCAGCUCGAAAGUGACUUUCCAAAAACCGCACCCACUCA